AAAAGAAAAUCCAUUUCUAUAAGAUGAAGUUCUCUGGUUUAUGGAAGGAACUGAUAAACGAACACUCUCUUUCCAGUUGCAAUCUCUUCUAAUGGUAGUGAUUUUGAGUUCAGUUAUAAGAGAAAGAUAAGAACCAGUCUUUUCCAAUUUCACAAUUUGCUUUUGGAGGGAUGUUCUAUUACUUGCAAAAGAUAAAUUACUCGGUAUAAUUUCUUCAACUGUGAGUUCUAUAGAAGGGUGUGAAACUUCUUUACCUUUCGAAGAUUGCGUUUUGGAAGAGGAACCUUUGAUGCCAGAACCAGAAGAAGGAGGGGUAGAACCAGUUAAACCUCCACGUGUAGAUCCCAUACUUCGAAGUCUUCCUCCUCU
rnacentral:lncRNA from 1 species